rnacentral:misc_RNA from 1 species
GUACGGCGUACGGCGUAAAAAAACGUUAGCACGAGAGCCGACGAUCUCGUUGCGUCGUCGUGCGCGAUCUCGCUUACGCGAUUUCUCUGCUUGUAUGCGACGAAACUGGUGCGCGACGCGGAGCGCACGUCGCGCAUUUUACCGUUUACCGAGGCUCGGCGACAGCUCCGUGUUGACACGUCCGCCGUUGACACGUAUGGCCAAAAUGUAGAUGGUUACUGCGAGAGAAAGAGAGAAGGAAAGAGUCGAUCGCGCCGAAAGGGUGAACAUGUCAUCGGAUUUCCGUGAACGAGCUUGAGCUCGAGCCGAGAAAGCACGAUAGCCUAAUCCUUAAAUCCCGACCGUUGAUUUUCUCGUAAACGCGAAACGGACGGACGGACGGACGAACGGCGCGAUUGCACAUGUGAUCCCCCCCUCUGAGUAGUCUCGACCCCAUUUGGCAGACGCGAUGAAGAAGUUCACGAUCAAGGGUGUCCUCGAUGGGUUCCGGUCGUCGGUCCCGCAGCCCGUCAAGCCCGACCAGGAGAUCGUCGAGAACCUGAGGCCGGAGCACUUUCAAGUGAAGAAGACAUUCAGACACGGCUUCCCGCAUCAACCGACAGCGUUGGCAUUCGACCCAGUUCAAAGGCUCCUAGCUAUUGGCACUAAAUCAGGAUCCCUCAGGAUUCUGGGUAGUCCGGGCGUAGAUACGCACGUUAAGCAUGAGGAAUGCGCGGCAGUCCUGCAAUUACAGUUUUUGAUCAACGAAGGAGCAUUGGUGUCCGCCACGGCGGAUGACACUUUGCAUUUAUGGAACUUUCGUCAAAAAAUACCGCAAGUGGUGCAGAGCCUCAAGUUUCAAAGAGACAGAAUCACUUGCAUUCACCUACCGCUACAAAGUAAAUGGCUGUACGUCGGAACGGAGCGAGGAAAUAUUCACAUAUUACAUAUCGAAACAUUCGUUCUAUCCGGAUAUGUAAUUAAUUGGAACAAGGCUAUUGAAGUAUCUAGAAAGACCCAUCCUGGUGCUGUAGUACACUUGAGUGAUAAUCCUUUAGAUUUGAGCAAGAUACUUAUAGGGUAUCAGACAGGGCAAAUUGUUCUGUGGGACUUGAAAAGCAAAACUGCUGACUACAGGUGUCAAACGGAUGAACAGUUGAAAUCCAUAACAUGGCAUCAUGAAGGUAAACAGUUUAUGUGCAGUCACACGAACGGUUCUCUUUCGACUUGGACCGUUCGACAAUUAAAGCCAACAAGCGUGACAUUCCCACACGCAAAAACUACCAAUGGCGAACCUGAACCAUGUAAACCCAUUCAGAAGGUAGAAUGGAAAUUAUCGAGAUCAGGGGAAGCGUAUAUCAUAUUUUCUGGUGGACUAGCGUGCGACGUCACUGGAAGAACACCUAGUAUAACAAUUAUACAGGGAAAAACUACUACAGUUCUCGAAAUGGAACAUACAGUUAUAGAUUUUGUGACGCUAUGUGAUAACCCAUGGGCCAGUGAUUUUCAAGAUCCGUAUGCUGUUGUUGUUCUACUACAAAAUGACUUGGUUGUGAUAGAUUUAUUAACUCCUGGAUUCCCCUGUUUCGAGAAUCCAUAUCCCAUGAAUAUUCACGAAUCUCCUGUAACCUGCUGUGCGUAUUUCGCUGAUUGUCCUUCGGAUUUGGUACCUGCAUUUUACUCCGUUGGGUCCAAAUCGCAAAAGAAGACCGGUUUUAGCGAGAAAGAAUGGCCUAUUUCCGGUGGAGAAUGGAGUCCCAAUUCUAGCAGUUAUAACGAGAUUAUUCUCACUGGGCACGCUGAUGGCAGUAUAAAGUUCUGGGACGCUUCCGCGGGAACGUUACAAAUCCUUUACAAACUAAAGACAGCGAAACUUUUCGAAAAGACUAAGACGCAUAGUAUAGAUUCUGAAGAGGACCCAUUAGCAAUUCAACUUAUUUACCUUUGUCCCGAAAGUCGGAAAUUAGCUAUCGCAGGAAGCGGCAAACACGUCGUAUUGUUUAAAUUUAAAAAGGUUGAGAGUAUGUCUGAAGUAGUGACUUUGGAAAUAUGCUUAUCAGUGGAUUCAUCAAGAGAAGCAGAAAAUUCACCGGAUCAUGAGUCUCCAGCAACCGGAAACACUGUGGGAAAUGUGGAAUCGAAGAUCACAGAUUUUAAUCAUCCGCUUAAAGUCAAGACGGGUUUGCAGAAAAGGGCUGCUGGUUUUCAAGCGACAUUAAUUUGUUUAACAACGGCACCUAGUGGAGAACAACCUGAGAAUAUAACAUCCCUUAGUUUAAACUCUUCAUACGGCCUAUUGGCCUAUGGAAACGAAUCAGGCUUAGUGAUAAUAGACAUCGUGCAGAAGAUUUCGUUAAUCGUAUUAAACACCAGCGAUCUUGGGGGAUCUGAUCCGCAACGUGUUUUACGCAGUCCCAAACGGCAAGACGAUUCGAAACGAGAAAAUGAAGAUAAAGCGAGAAGUCCGAGUACAGAUCAGCUAACUUUGUGUCUACCAUUGAAGCAAAGUCAGCGAGAAUCCGUGAUGGAAUCCGAGGCGAUAGUUACAAGGAUAACGGAUUCGACUCAGCAACAGUGUCUUCGCAGUGAAAGUCAAACUGGAAACAAUAACGAUAGACCGAGCGGAGAGGAAUCAACAAGCGAAGCUAAUAAAACAGGAAACCUUUCUAACGGCGACGAAUGUCAGAAAAGUCAAGGUUGGAAGGGAUUUAGUCUCAAGAGACAACUGAGCAAAGUUGAUCUGAAGAUCAAAAAUACUUUUACACCGUCCUUGGUGUCUUCUCAGAAUGGGAGCUCGUCAUUGGGGCUCAUGCAAGUACCCCAAUGCCAGCAGGUAGGCAGCGACGCUGGUAAUCAAAAGUCUUCCACAUUUUACUGCAAUGUCAGCGAAACGGCCAGCACGAGUCGUUCAUUAUCGCCGGUCGAAAGUAUCGACUCUGAGUCUUCAUUGUCACCGGAUAAUCAGUCUUCGGGAUGUGAGAGUCCCCAGAUCGAUGACAGGAAGCGAGACAUCCAAGAGGCUAGAAGCCCAACGGAAAGCGAAAACGAGAAAACAACGAUGAGCAAUAUCAGUGUAAAAACCGAGGCAGUGAGACCGAUGAACUUAUCUUUACCCGAACACGAAUUAAAACCACCGAGGCUGAAACGCAUCGCCAAAAUCAAGCAAGCAAAGAGAGAUAACCGUUUGCUCUCCGUGCCAAAUCUGAAAUUUUCCAAAAACGAGACGACCGUUUGUGACCUAAGGUGCGAAGAGAGCGCUACAUCCGAGUCGUUCACCUGCAAUCUUAUAAGAAGAUUCAGUCGGGUAGACAAAUUCGACGGCUCUUUCCAACGAUCAAGGAGCUCGAGUAUGUCGUCCCUCGAGAACAUUACUACAGAAACCAUAAGCUGCCUUACAUUUGCGGAUUCUUAUACGAAAAAAAACGAUACAAAUGGCAUGCCAACUUUGUGGAUUGGCACGUCUCUGGGAUCUGUACAGACUGUUGUAUUUAAUACACCUGCCCACGGCGAACGUAAUGCUCAUCCAGUGGUUGUGUCUACUUGUAAUGGAUCUACUUUCAAACUCAAGGGUUGUAUUCUAUCCACGUCGUUCUUAGAUUGCAACGGAGCUCUGAUUCCAUACUUGUACGAGUCUUGGAAAGACGAGAACACAGAUGGCAAAGAUCGAAACAAGAGUCAAGGAAAAGGUACAAAUAGCCGGAUGCCACCGUCGAUGAACACGCAGAUCAGCGGGGAUAAUUUCGAAGAUCGACAAUUCGUCGUGCUCGCAUCAGAAAAGCAAGCAAGAGUUGUGGCGUUACCCUCCCAAAAUUGUGUAUAUAGACAACAGCUAGCGGAGACUCAUAUCGUAAUUAAGGCGGAAGUUACAUCUCUGAAAGAUAACGUCUGCCUGGUAUGUUACGUCUCAAACGGUCACAUCACAACGUAUAGUCUGCCCAGUCUUAGACCACUGAUAGACGUCGAUUUUCUACCUCUUAUAGACUUGAGACCACAAAACACGGCAUUGUAGACCCCAUGUUGUCCAUAUGGGGUCAUCAACUCUUUGUUAAUGGCGAUACCGAUCAGAUCGCAAAGACGCUUUGCUUCAGCAAUCGAGGUCACGGUUUAUAUCUGUCAUCGCCCAUGGAAAUUCAGAAAUUCUCCGUUUCAAGUGAAUUCUG